rnacentral:tRNA from 1 species
AGGGACUUAGGAUAGCAGUCAGUCCAAGAGCCUUCAAAGCCCUCAGCAGGGGUGAAAAUCCCCUAGUCCCUG